ACUCAAAUGAAUAGACGGGGACCCGCACAAGCAGCGGAGCAUGUGGUUUAAUUCGAAGCAACGCGAAGAACCUUACCAGGACUUGACAUCAAGUGCAAUCUGUUGAAAGACAGGCCUCCUUCGGGACACGAAGACAGGUGGUGCAUGGUUGUCGUCAGCUCGUGUCGUGAGAUGUUCGGUUAAGUCCGGCAACGAGCGCAACCCCUAUGAUCAGUUGCCAAUAUUAAGUUAGGAACUCUGGUCAAACUGCUAUGGAUAACAUAGAGGAAGGUGGGGAUGACGUCAAAUCAUCAUGCCCCUUACGUUCUGGGCUACACACGUGCUACAAUGGGCGCUACAAAGAGCAGCAAAACCGUAAGGUCGAGCGAAUCUCAAAAAAGCGUUCUCAGUUCGGAUUGAGGGCUGCAACCCGCCCUCAUGAAGCAGGAGUUGCUAGUAAUCCCGAAUCAUCAUGUCGGGGUGAAUGCGUUCCCGGGUCUUGUACACACCGCCCGU
rnacentral:rRNA from 1 species